UAGGUCAUUCAGCAGUCUGUGGGAGUCUGGAUACACGUUAUCCCGAAAGCAUUCCCAAAGGAGAACAAGCCAAGCGGUCUCGCCGCUGUUAGAAGACAAAAAUCGUCUUGAAUAUUUUGAGUAAUACUUAGAAUGACUUCAAAGUGUCUGAUAGUCGCUAUAUUCACUAACGCGGGUUAGGAAUUCACCUCUAUAAAUCGGUCAAGUCACAGAAUUACUCGAACUGAUCGGCUAAAGAUUCAGACUGUCUUCAAAGAGCAAGCCAAAACAUCAUGGUGUAUUGCUGUGGUAUCGAUAUGAAACUUCUCUAUCCACUCUUGUUUUUAUUGUGCUUCUUGUGUCAAACUACACAAGGACGAAAGAGGAAUAAAGCUCAAUCAAAACCCAACAUUAUAUUCAUUUUAACCGAUGAUCAAGACAGUGAAUUGGGGUCAAUGUGGGUUAUGAACAAGACUCGUGAAAUCUUUUCUUCAGGAGCUGCCUUUGUCAAUGCGUUUGUGACUUCACCGAUUUGUUGUCCUUCUCGAUCAUCGAUUUUAACCGGCAUGUACGCGCAUAAUCACAACACCUUGACGAACAACAUCAAUUGUUCUUCACCGAACUGGAGAGCAGGACCCGAGAGAAAAAGUUACGCGAGAUACCUCUCUGAUGCAGGAUAUUUAACAGGUAAAGUUGUAAUGAAUAAAUUGAACUACCGAAUCCUAGAGUAUUGCUAAUGAAUUAUGAUAAUAAUAACAUAUAAUAUCUAAAGCAUUAUGUUAGUUUUUCAAUUGUUUUAAGCACUCACUACACAAAUAUAGCCAACCAAUUGUUCUAAUAUAGAGGCAAUAUUAAUUACUGAACUAUUGAAUCAACUGAUCAUGAGUGCUCUGAUUGUAGUUGUGAAAGGAGUGUUUAGCUCCGUUUAGCUUGACUAACUUGCGAUGAUUUUUUUUUCAUCUUGAAAAGCAGAAAGCGAAAACGAAAGUCCUUCUCGCGCGCAUUAGUAAAACUGCUCCACGAAGUGACACCAACUUCUACUUUAUUUUUCUUAUGAGGCUAAUUUUAGAAAUGGAGUUUAUGAAGAAAAAUAGUGACAUAAAAAUCCAUCGAACCGUCGUAAGUUUAUUUCACUAGUUUUUCUUCUGAAUUUACUUUUCGUUUAUUAAAAGUAUAUAUAUAAGAAGUAUUUCGAGUAAUUUGGUGAACGAAGUAGGUAAUCUAGUUCCAGACAUUUGAAUGAUGUGUUAAGAACAAUUGACUUAUAUUUUUCCGCGUUUGAACACGUCCCAAUUAAGUUGUCAAAACUUAACCCUUGGAUAUCCUACUCUAUGUUGUUUGUGUAAAAACAGUCGGAGAUGGAUAAUAGUCAAACGUGUCUACGUGAACUUGAA